GGAAUAUUGGUCAAUGGGCGAGAGCCUGAACCAGCCAAGUAGCGUGCAGGACGACUGCCCUAUGGGUUGUAAACUGCUUUUAUCAGGGGAUAAAGUGACGUACGUGUACGUCAUUGCAGGUACCUGAUGAAUAAGGACCGGCUAAUUCCGUGCCAGCAGCCGCGGUAAUACGGAAGGUCCGGGCGUUAUCCGGAUUUAUUGGGUUUAAAGGGAGCGCAGGCCGGAGGUCAAGCGUGACGUGAAAUGUAGCCGCUCAACGGCUGAGUUGCGUCGCGAACUGGUUUCCUUGAGUGAGUACGACGUCAGCGGAAUUCGUGGUGUAGCGGUGAAAUGCUUAGAUAUCACGAAGAACCCCGAUUGCGAAGGCAGCUGACGAGUCCUUUACUGACGCUAAAGCUCGAAGGUGCGGGUAUCGAACA
rnacentral:rRNA from 1 species